UUGUAAUGAAGCGUACAGAUGCCGUGCGUCUCCUUCCUCAGAAUUUGCAAGGAAGAGUCGCUUUUCUUACCCGAUCCCCAACCGCUUGCGCGGCGUGGCCGUGUCCCGGCACGCUCGGAGCGUGGCGAGGCCGUCGCGCUGUGACCUGGCCGGCUUCGCCACACGCGCACCGAGGCGUUGCCAAAGCGUGGGUCUCUGCGAGGCCUCCCCUCCGCCAGGCUCGAUUUGCAAGGGUGGUCAGCCUAAGAGCUGGUUGCACUAGUCAGGGACUUCCCCAGGUAGGGGAAUUUUAACCCAGGCAGUUUGCUUCGGGUCUCAGUUCUUGUGGCAUCGCUGGAAAGGUGGGGGAGAAGCUACAAAAGAAGAAAAAUCUCCUGCUAGAUCUUUGGUUCUUAGGCAAUGCAGGAAAAUCCUGGAGUCUCUGGCCUCUCAUUCACAGGAGACUCCCGUUGUUAUUGAUGGGAGCUUUACGCAAACGAGGACUGACUAACAGCCAAAAGUUCUGGCCCUGUGAAUUAUGCCCAUGUGGCAUAAUGAGGCUCAAUUUGCUCAUGCCAUAUUGAAUGAAGACAUAAGAUUAUUUUAUUCUUUAACAGGAAGUGAUAUGAUUGAAUAUCUUCUUAGACCUUGAAAGAAUAUGAGCACGAUUCCUACAAUCAAUCAUCCAAAAAAACCUGUUUGUUUUUAUGGAUCGUUGCCUGCUCUGAAGUAAGAUGUUUAAAAUAAAUAGCACUGCAAAACACCUCUGCCCAGCUACUGAAAACAGGGACUUUUGAAGUGUUGGGUGCUCAAGGAGGAAAGCAACGCAAAACAAUGUUAUCCCUCUAAAAUAAGAUGUGUAAAAUAUACGUGCCUUGCAUAUCUGUAGCGAGAUUAAGCCAUCAGGCUGGCCAAACUGUGUUAAGAUAUAUUUGUAUCUGUAAGCUAAAAGAAAAAGGUCCCAUAUUAUCCCUGGCAAUAUGACUAUGAAUGAUAUAUAAGCACAUUGUACGGGUCUUUUUUAGACAUCUUUUGUUAUUGGUGCAUCUCCAGCUAGUAACUGAUAUUUCAGGAAGUGUGAAAGACUUUAUAAUCCAGUAUCUGAAAUUUACAUUUGCACUGAAUAUCUCUUUGCACACUUUGGCUUUAAUCUUACUAAGAUUUAUGCAUAUGCUUAUACUGAUGCAGUGAAAACAGUCCUACAAUAUGCUGUGAUCGCUCCUCACGGAAUAAAAAUGUUAAGCAGCUCUGCGUGUCUUGUCAGGUUUAGGUCCUAAACUUAUUCUGGAAAUGUGUGGUUACUGAUGCUUUUAGUUUAAGAAAGUUUAUCCUUGUUUUGUAAAAAUUCUGUUAAAACCGAUAUAUCUUUUGUCUGAAGUUUAUGCUUUUAUAAAGUUUCUGUCACACUGUAAACAAUUUGCAGUGUUUUAGAUACCAGACCUGUCCAUACAGAAAACUGGUGUUCACAGGAAAGACAACAUAGUCUUAAAAAUAAAGUGACAUUUUGAGUUGACUUCUUGAUUAGCUGCUUUGCACAGGAAGAAAUACUUUGAAAUGACUUAUGUGAAGAAAUGGCUAUUUUUGCUGUGCAUUCCAUUGCGAAGGUCUAUCAGGUAGUACUGUAAGAAAUAUACUUUAGUGUAACAAUUGUAAUUGAAAUUAUUAUGGUGAGUAUAUUUUCCUAAGCUAUUUUACAUUCAGAGCUGUUUUAUUGUAACUACUGAGUACCUUAGUAGGUAACCAGACACAAAUGCCACUCUCAUGAAUUUGCCAUUUUAGUAGAUAAUUACUACAGUGUUGUUACUGAUUCUUUAAUAAACCACAUUUAAUUUA